AGCUCCAAUGGCGUAUAUUAAAGUUGCUGCGGUUAAAAAGCUCGUAGUUGGAAUUCUGCCGAGGAAGACUGGUCCGCCCUCUGGGUGAGUAUCUAGUUCGGCCUGGGCAUUUUCUUGGGGAAUGUGGUUGCACUUGGCUGUGUGGUGCUGUAUCCAGGACUUGUACUUUGAGGAAAUUAGAGUGUUUCAAGCAGGUUUAUAGAGCUGAGGUAAUGGUGAAUAGGGAUGGUUGGGGGUGUUCGUACUUAAUUGUCAGAGGUGAAAUUCUUGGAUUUGCUAAAGACGGACAACUGCGAAAGCAUUCGCCAAGGAUGUUCUCA
rnacentral:rRNA from 1 species